rnacentral:lncRNA from 1 species
UUUUGGAAUAAUAUCCCUCUUAUUGAUUAGGGAGAAAGUUUUUUGUUUGCUUUGAAUCUUAUGGUUGUUUUGGUUCAUCAACUCACUAUUUAAAAAACUUAGAUGCUACUAUGCUUCUUAAAAUGUUCUUUACUGUUUCACAAGUUUAUUCAUGCAAAGACUCAAUUUUGUAAUUAAUAUAUUAAUGUCAAUAUAUACUUGUAAGAU